GACGAACGCUGGCGGCGUGCUUAACACAUGCAAGUCGAACGGAAAGGCCCUGCUUUUGUGGGGUGCUCGAGUGGCGAACGGGUGAGUAACACGUGAGUAACCUGCCCUUGACUUUGGGAUAACUUCAGGAAACUGGGGCUAAUACCGGAUAGGAGCUCCUGCUGCAUGGUGGGGGUUGGAAAGUUUCGGCGGUUGGGGAUGGACUCGCGGCUUAUCAGCUUGUUGGUGGGGUAGUGGCUUACCAAGGCUUUGACGGGUAGCCGGCCUGAGAGGGUGACCGGCCACAUUGGGACUGAGAUACGGCCCAGACUGCUACGGGAGGCAGCAGUGGGGAAUAUUGCACAAUGGGCGGAAGCCUGAUGCAGCAACGCCGCGGGCGGGAUGACGGCCUUCGGGUGGUAAACCGCGUUCGCCUGUGACGAAGCGUGAGUGACGGUAAUGGGUAAAGAAGCACCGGCUAACUACGUG
rnacentral:rRNA from 1 species